rnacentral:rRNA from 1 species
AGUCUGAAGAAAAUUUUAUUUUAGAUAAAGCCUGCCCAGUGCUAUAUUUAGUAAAUGGCCGCAGUACCCUGACUGUGCUAAGGUAGCGUAAUCAGUUGGCUUUUAAUUGGAGUCGUGUAUGAAUGGAUUUUUGGGGCUAAGCUGUCUCAUUAAGGUUUUGUUGAAUUUAGUUAAAGGGUGAAAAUACCCUUAUUAAGAUAAAGGACGAUAAGACCCUAGGAGUUUUAAUUAAAAAUUAUAAUUUAGUUUUGUGUUUUUGCUGGGGCGGCAUAGAGGUAAUAUAUUAGCCCUCUUACUAUAAUUAGCCGAUAUUUUUAAGUUUAGCUAAACUACCCGAGGGAUAACAGCAUUAUUCUUUAAAGAGUUUGUGACCUCGAUGUUGGACUAGGAAUUUGCUAGACUAGCCGUUUAGUUAUAUUGUUCUGUUCGAACUAAAUUUCC